ACCAUUGACAAAUAGAAUUUAAAAGAUGACCAGUAUUUAAUUCACAUUUUAUCAAAUUUUCUUAACUUCAAAUUGAUUGAUUUAUAAAAUUGAUUAAAACAAUUUAAAUUGUUCCUGUUGAUUGUUGAUCACCUGAUUUUCUCUUCUACCGCCACCUGGCGACGAUCGAAUAGAAACUCGAAUAUAAACAAGAAAAUCUGAUUGACGAGCGCCGCCUAACGGGAGGAGAAAGGGGUUGAUAAACUUGGAGAUUAAAUUUUCAGGUUUCAAUGUUUUCCUUUGUUUAAUUGUCAUAAUUGUCUAACUGAUUAAAUACAGACUGAAAAUAAUUACAAUUAACAAGGUGUAAUUGUCGCCGGUUGAUGAUGAAAUUAGUGUUAAAAGUUAAUAAUGAUUCAUUGGGAAUGUAAAUGUUGUUAAACCCAAAAGACGCCAAAAGGUAAACUCUCACACAUCUUAAUCUGGUAUUUACAUGUUAAUCUAAUUGGGAUUAAGUUAAUUACCUUUUUCUUUUGUCUUUAUUUGUUGUUACUCAGUUGUUUUAAAGAAGAUUAACCAAAAAUCAAUCGAUUACUGGCAAUUCUCAUAUAUAUUCCACCUUAAUCUUUUCUCCAUUUUUGCUUUUCCAACAUUUUCUCUUCUUCUAUAUCUAUUGUGUACCCUCAGUGUUUUUUUUGUUCUAUUCUAUUUUCCAUAUUCUCCUCUUUGUCCUUUCUCUUUCUUUUUUUCCUUCCCAAUGAUAGAAUCUCUCACCCUACUGUCAAAAAAGGUACUUUAUGGUGAAAAAAGAAAACUCCAUAGGAUGAGAGAAAGAGAAAGAAAGAAAAAGGUAAUAGCAUUAAGGACGCUUGGUUGACCUUCGUUGAACAACAACCUUACCCAACAUGGAAGAUAAUCAAGUAGUUGAGAGCACAUUCACAUAUACUCACUCACUCUCACAUCAAGUAAAAUCAUUCAGAAGAUGAGUAUGAUUCAUGAUGGUAAAUGAUUUCAAAAUUAUUAAUCCAAACUGUUGGAAAUUCAAAAAAAAGCAGCAGUCAUCACGAAAACAAAGAUAAUCAUUAAAAGACACUCACUCUGGAUUAUCAUCAUCAUCAAGAAGGAAGAAAUGAAAAUAAAAUCAUCUGGUUUUGGACAAUCGUUCUGGUUACCUGAUUAAUGAGGAUGAAAUUGAUUCAAUGUCACCAAACAGAAAAGCAGAUCGUUCUGAUGUUAAUUAAACAAUUGAAGAGGUGGAGAGUUUAAUAAUAAUAAUAUAACAUAUAUCCUGUUGAUUAAUUCAAGGAGUCUCUCUCUCUCUCCUUAAUUUCCCAUUUAAUAUAUAAAUUUUUCUGUUUUAUCCUCAUCUCUUUCUCUAUACAACAAGGAAACAGGAGCAUAAUCAUGGUUACACCACCACCAGAAUCAGUACAUAUCAGGAAUGAACAAUCAAUUGAAGACAAUCAAGAUGCUGGUGUGAAAAAGGCAACACCAAACAAAGAGGAUUCAAUAUCCACCCUUAAAACUCACGGAGUUCAUAUUAUGGUGAUGAGGGUUAAACUUAAACCUGAUUUUCAAUUCUAAAGUUGUUGAUAUUUCUUAGUUUCCUCUAAGGAUUAACAUCGGAUUAUUGGAUAUUCAGGUAAUAGUUAUAAGGAGUAAGAAGAAGAGGAUAAAUUGAUAACAUUGAAAAGAUACGAAAGUUUUUUAUUGGAGUUUUUUUCCCUUCUUAUUCACCAUCGAACUGGCAACAUUAACAACAAUCAAAGUAUAAUAUACACCCAGUGGACAAUCAAGAUGGUGGACAGUUAUUAUAUUGUCAAUACCUUUUUUUUCAUCAUCUGAAGAUUUGGUAACAUUAUAAAUUGUUGGAGGAACCAAGAAAAACACUUACUCAAAUUAACUUGACUUUUUUUCCCGGGACCCGAAUGUGUCUUAAUUGUAUGUGUGCAUAUUACAGGUACGAGUAAGUUAAUUCAGUCCAAAUCAUCUAUACAAUGAUGAUGAUGAUUAUAAUCAUCAUCUUAAAGCUGUGAGCUCACCUGAUCACUUGACACCAAUUUCAACCCGAAUGGCAAAAAAAAGUAAAGUUUAAGAUAAUUACAAAUAAACUCGUAAAAACAUCAACACACACACUCACUGACACUCUUACACAACAUUGAACCAAAUCGAUGUGCAAGUUAAACAUUAUAGCACCGUGAUUAACAUUUAUCAUCAAUUGUAAUAAUAAUAAUAAUAACUUUUUGAAUUACUCUUCCUCCUUAUCAUCAUCAUUAUCAUUACAAUUAACUUGAUCACUGACCAACUGUUUACACACCCUUCCCAUCCAACAACAGUAAACGGAUGAUGAUCAACUUACAAUAUAAAGUCAGUUAACUAACAAUUACAAUGUUUCAUUGAUAAAAAGAAUAGAGGAAGAAAAGUAAUCAUCAUGAUCAAUGAUGAUAAUGAUGAAGAUAAUCAAAUACAAUUGAAAAUUUUUAAUGUCUUCUUCAUCAUCUCUCUCUCUCUCUCUCAAUGCUCAUUUCAACUCACUGUAAAUGUUAGCAUUUGAUUGCGUGAUAUAACCAGUUGAACGGUUCACCAGAGAAUGAGGCAGAUACAAUUAACCAUCAUCAUCAGAAUCAUCAGAAUCAACAGAAUCAUCAACAUGAUAGAAACAUUUUCAUCUACAAUUUGGUAUAUUUUUUUUUUACUCAAUUUUUCAUGUUUCGGUUGCUGGUCAAAUCUAAAAGGACUUUCAUUACAAUUGUGAUGGAAAACUGGUAAACUGUUUCAAUAUAAUAUAAUUCAACAUGAGAAUGAGAAAUAUAAUUUAUCCAGGUAAAUAAUAUAAUAGAAUUGGUAAAAAGGAAGUGAAAUAUUAAUACGAAAAAAAUGAUUAACAAUCAACAACACUCAAUGGUUAUUAUAUUUUGUGUCGAUCAACAAGUUACCAUUGCAAAUGCACAACAAAAUCCAACAAGUUGAUUAAGUUUUCUUUUUCUUCUGCUGUUGUUGAUCAUUAAAACGAUGAAAUUGAAUUGAAUUAAUAAAUUGUUGAUUCUAAUUGACACAACAA